rnacentral:lncRNA from 1 species
UUCAGAUUUUGUUGUCUAAACAUUGAUUGAACCAAAUGACAAGAUGUCGUGUUGGUGGCAAAGCUUCAAUGAACCGACAAGCGAUGUUUACCAGGCAAAAAGAAAAGGUCUUCUAGGAGAAGAAAAUUUUUGCAAUUGUGCAUGAGCAUUUGGUAUGACACCUUGGGGAUGAGGUAAAGGACCAAAGAGUUUCACAUUCAAUAUCAUUGAAUUGCGAUAGGAGAAGAUUGAGAAAAGUCAUAUUUCUACCCUUAAAUUACUGUGAGAGAAUGAUGGUACAAAUUUUGAUGUUCCAGUGGAUUGAACUUUGACGUGUACAGUGGGGGGCAAUCAGAUUAAGUGUUUCUUUGGAUAUGCUAGCCGAGCAAGAAGGCGGUGUAGCACGUCAGUGAUAAAGCCUUAAUAAGCUUUUGUGUGAUGAUAACCUAAGCAUUAAGGAAUCAUUUUCAUGACAUUUUGCAUGUCAUUCAUACACAUCUCGUUAGGAGCAUUUGAUUCGUUCUGAUCAUAUCAUCCUAAUCACUAGGCACAAUUAGGUUCAUAAAAUAGAACAUACAGGUCAUGUUCCCCAUAGAACAGAUCAAUGAAGACAUCAGAUCUUGCUUUCCUGUACUGACUGCGAAGCAGAUCAAAGACAACAGAUCUUGCCGUCCUGCCUUGAUAGUGAAGCAGAUCGAAGAUACAAGUUUUGUCUCCAUCGGUUGCGGUGGAACUGGUUGAAGAUAGCAGAUCUGGCCUUCCUGCGUUAACAGCGAAGCAGAUUGAAAACAAAGCCUUGUCUCCAUCGGUUGUAGUAGAGUUGAUUGAAGAAUGUCAGAUCUUAUCUCCCUGAGAUUACAGCAGAGCAGAUCGAAGCUAGUAAUCCUAUCUCCCUGAGAUUACAGUGGAGUGGAUUAAAAUAAAGGAUCUUAUCUCUCUGAAGUUACAGCAGAGAAGAUCGUAUCAGGUCUUAUCUCCCUGAGAUUAUAGCGGAGCAGAUUGAAGUUAGUAAUCCUAUCUCCCUGAGAUUACAGUGGAGCGGAUUAAAACAAAGGAUCUUAUCUCUCUGAAGUUACAGUAGAGUAGAUCGCAUCAGGUUUUACCUCCCUGUGGUUACAGUGGAGAACAUUGAAGCCAGUAAUUCUAUCUCCCCGACGUUGCGGAGUGGGUCGAAGCGCCAAUGCCUAUACCUCUGAAGUUGCAGUUGAAGUUACAAGUCUUAUCUCCCUGACGUUGCAGUAGGACAGACUAAAACCAUGAAUCUCACCCCCCUGAAGUUACAACAGAGUGGAUUGAAGCUACAAGUCUUGUCUUUUUGAAGUUGUAGCGGAAUGGAUCGAAGUGACAAGACACGGUAGACUGGAAUGAAGCUACUUGAAGAAGAAAGGCACCAAGAAGUCAAGACUCGGCGAGACCGGGCAAAAUUGGGCUUUCUUAGUCUUUGCUCUGUUAUCGUUACACGACAACGAGCAAAGAGUGGCAGCUGUACAAGCCCAAUUUUUAGCCCAAAACCCAAUUAACCCAAGAACCCAAAAUAAUCACAUACCAGCAAAACCCUCUACCCAAUACAACCCAAAAACCCCACCUAAACCUAACCCAGCUACCAGCCCAAUUACAAUUAACCUAAACCAGACCCGAAGCCCACUUAGCCCAGGCCCGAUUUCAAAAAAUAUCUGCCUAGGGUUUCAGAGACUGAAACCCUAGGCGCCGCCCCUUGACUUUUGGCUUCCUGCCAUCGCCGUCACCGCCGUUGGACGUCCCAUCCGCGUCCAUCACGUCGGCCUCCCCCCACUUGCGCCGUCACCUGCAAAAGAAACAAAACGAAGAAAAGAGGGCAAUAGAAACAGUGGCAUUCGGCUAUAAAAGCCAAGAAAAAUGUAUUUUGAAGCUCUUGGCUUCCUAUUUUGUAACCAAAAAGUAACAGACAUUAGCAAAAUAAAUAAAAAACAAGAGAAAUAUUAAGAGGUGAUUUUCGUUCUCCCGUUUCAGAUUUUUUUAUUUUUUUCUUUUUUUAUAUACAUCUACAAACAAAGAAACGAUUUAAAAGGGAAAGAAAAAGAAAGGAGUACUUGAGCCGUUCCGUUUGCGCCGUCGCCGGAGUUCAUUUUUAGGUUACCGAAAUCGGACCAUGAAGGCGACGUUUGGGGCUUCGCUCCUUGGCCCUACGGCUCUAAAGCCCG